rnacentral:lncRNA from 1 species
GUGUUUCUUUUUGUUUUUUUUCAUCUGCAUUAGCGAUGGUGAGAUCUAAUUUAGCAGAUUGCAGUGAGGAUUAAAGGAAGUAAUAAAUGCAAGUUGUCUAUCAUAGUUCCAGGCACACAGGAACCUCCUCCCACUCCCCCCAACCUAAUUUAAAAGGUAGCUAUCUGCCCCUGAAAUUGAACUAUACUGACUGGUUACCAACAUACAGACACAUGAAGUUAUUCUGUCUGUAUCUCUCACUUACCAGCUUUUCCUUUAAGGUUUUAUGUGUGUUCCUUUGCUUUUAGGCCAAAUACUUAUUUUCCUAAAAUGGUGCUUUCUUGACCGAAAACAGUCUUCUACUUUUCUUUCUUUUCACUGCUCUUGCCUGGUGAUCAAAUUGUUUAAAGCCAUCUUUGUCCUUCCUCCUUCUAAUCCAUGGCCAAGGCAGGGGGCAGCUUUAAUUAAUAGGAACAUUCUGCAUUAGCUAAGCAAUUUCUCAUUCUACCUCUCAGUUAUUGAUUAAAUCUCUCCAUGAUGCACAAAUGAAGACUGGGUGUAUUUUGCAUAUUUUCCUAGAAUGGCAUAGUGAUUCUGCGGCUAAACCAAGAUUAGACCUUGCUAGUUCUAAAAAUCUGACUUUUUGCUUUAAUGGGUAAACUGUGCUGCCUCAAAAACUAUGAGUUGAGUUUAACUUUCAAGUGUACUUUGUAUUUAAAUCUGAUGAUAGACUUGUUUUUCCUUUUGUCUUGUUUAGAUGAGGGCUUUGUAUUCUUUUCUUUGCUGGGCUGGUACAUUUGCCCUGACGGUGACCUAGGCAUGUUUCUUGAUGCUGUCAAGAAUGCUGAUUAAGACACUUAUUUUCUUUUGCCCUACUGUUUAUGAUACUUGUAAUUAGGUCGGUUAGAUGGUAAACUGUGUUAUCUCUCACUACAAUGAGCGUGGUCCUCUGUACACAAAGGAAAGUUUGAAUGUGGGUGUGUGAGUGAAUAAAUAUGUAUGUUUAUAUUGUUACUGGCUUAAAAGCUCCCAGCUUACUGGUUUAAAUAUAUACAGUCUUAGAUGGGAGGUGGGAUGACUGAAUAAGAAAUAAGACUGUGUUAGGAUGGCAUCUGGUCCCAUCGCUUCAUGGGAAAUAGAUGGGGAAACAAUGG